rnacentral:rRNA from 1 species
AGUUGAACGAUGAUUUCUGGUACUUGUAUCAGAAUGAAGAGUAGCGAACGGGUGAGUAACGCGUGGGUAACCUACCUCUUAGCGGGGGACAACCAUUGGAAACGAUAGCUAAUACCGCAUAACAAUGUUAAACCCAUGUUUAACAUUUGAAAGUACCAAUUGGUACACUAGGAGAUGGACCCGCGUUGUAUUAGCUAGUUGGUAGUGUAAUGGACUACCAAGGCGAUGAUACAUAGCCGACCUGAGAGGGUGAUCGGCCACAUUGGGACUGAGACACGGCCCAAACUCCUACGGGAGGCAGCAGUAGGGAAUCUUCGGCAAUGGACGAAAGUCUGACCGAGCAACGCCGCGUGAGUGAAGAAGGUUUUCGGAUCGUAAAACUCUGUUGUUAGAGAAGAACGUUGUGUAGAGUGGAAAAUUACACAAGUGACGGUAUCUAACCAGAAAGGGACGGCUAACUACGUGCCAGCAGCCGCGGUAAUACGUAGGUCCCGAGCGUUGUCCGGAUUUAUUGGGCGUAAAGCGAGCGCAGGUGGUUUAAUAAGUCUGAUGUAAAAGGCAGUGGCUCAACCAUUGUGUGCAUUGGAAACUGUUAGACUUGAGUGCAGUAGAGGAGAGUGGAAUUCCAUGUGUAGCGGUGAAAUGCGUAGAUAUAUGGAGGAACACCGGUGGCGAAAGCGGCUCUCUGGACUGUAACUGACACUGAGGCUCGAAAGCGUGGGUAGCAAACAGGAUUAGAUACCCUGGUAGUCCACGCCGUAAACGAUGAGUGCUAGUUGUUUGGGGCUAUCCAGCCCUAAGUGACGCAGCAAACGCAUUAAGCACUCCGCCUGGGGAGUACGACCGCAAGGUUGAAACUCAAAGGAAUGACG